rnacentral:tRNA from 4 species
GUGGUUGUAGCUCAGUUGGUUAGAGCGUCGGAUUGUGGUUCCGAAGGUCGCGGGUUCGAGCCCCGUCUUCCACC